GAUUCUAGAAUCGACAUCAUAGAAAGAUGAUAAUGGAAUUAAAAGGACGCGGUAACCUUGACCGUGAUAAUGUAGCAUAAUCACUUGCCAUUUAAUUGGUGGAUAGUAUGAAUGGUUGAACGAAUAUUCCACUGUCUUAAAGAGAGUUAAAAAAAAAUUGAAAUAAUAGUUAAGAUGCUAUUUCAAACUGUAAGACGAAGAGACCCUAUAGAGCUUAACUAUAAUCUUUAUAUUAUAAUUCUAAAAUUAAUAAUACUUAAUGAUUUAUAAAGAUUGGUAGUUUAGUUGGGGCGACUAUCUUUUAAAAAAAACAAAGAUAAGCAAAAUUAAUAAAUAAUUUAUUGUAUAAUUAAUUCAUUUAACAGUUAUGAAAGUAGGCUAUAAUGACCCGUUUAUGUUUUAUAAAAAAAUAAACGAUCAAUUGAUAAAAGCUACCUUAGGGAUAACAGGAUAAUUUCAUUUUAGAGUUCUUAUCGAAAAUGAAGUUUGUCACCUCUAUGUUGAAUUAA
rnacentral:rRNA from 1 species